AACGACCAUCCAACGAACGUACAAUAAAGACGUAAUUUAAUCUUUCCUACUCCUAAUCUAAACUAAUACAAUACCUAAUACCUUUUUCUCUAAAACAAGGGACCUAUUUAUAGGGAAAAUAACUUUGAACCCUAUUUUAGAUUCAUUGAACUUGGACACUUUUGUUCCCUUUCCAUGUAGGUUUCAAUUUCCUAGUGGUAAUCAACUUCUCAAAAAGAUCUUCUAGAUAAAGAGAUCUUCUAGAUUGACUUUCCUUUCUCUUGUUGGAUUUGACUUGCACACCAAAAUUGUUCCACCUCUUCCUUCUCCUUAUAGGAUUCUUCUUGGAUAUUCCUUACAUGAAUAAGAGCAUUAAAUAUCGCUUGAUCACCAAGAUUUUGACUUUAUUGCAAUAAAUAUUAAAUCCUACAAAAUAAAAUAAAACAUAUUAAUUUAAUAAACUAAUAUAAUUAAAAGGACAAAAUUAGGGAUAAUAAAAUGUAUGAAUUACGUGUCUAUCAGUUUCAAGUAUGUAUUAAUUCCAGAUUUCAUUGAGAAAUCAUCACAAAUAACAAAACCAAUCUUUAUAUAUCAAUUACUUUUUCAGUACUAAUACCAAACUGUAAUAAUAUAGCAAAACAUAUUCACAAUAAAUCCUAAAUUUCAUGAUUCUAACUAAUUAGAUGAACAAAGAUAUAGGUUUAAGUAAUACCUCUUAUGAUUUUAAGUUCUUUGCUUAGAUACUUGAUUAUUCUUGUUUCCUUACUCCAAUUCAAUAUACUAUCCCCAACUGUUUGAGUAUUGACAGAGUUUAUAAGAAUAGGAGAAUUAGAAGUCUUCCUCUAGAAUGAAGAAACUGGAAUAAGAAAGCUGGGGACUUGAUUUUAUAGGAAAUUGAUUUCUUACCCAGUCUAAGAUUGUGGUAGAACUCUAGCUCUUGCUCCCAUAUUAUGACCCAGCAUUAUUAACCCACCUCAUGCUCCCAUAUUA
rnacentral:lncRNA from 1 species